rnacentral:tRNA from 4 species
UCCGGGGUAGCUCAGUUGGCAGAGCAGCGGACUGUUAAUCCGUUUGUCGUGGGUUCGAGCCCCACCCCCGGAGCCA